rnacentral:RNase_P_RNA from 1 species
AUUGUCGUGUGUCUUAUCGCUGGUAUGGUAACAUACGAGAGGAAAGUCCGAGCACCACAGAGCACCGUACUUCCUAACAGGAAGGCGUGGUCUCCACGACAGAAAGUGCAACAGAAAACAUACCGCCUGCAUUUGUUUUUCUCCAACCCUUGAUUCAAGUGCAGGUAAGGGUGAAAAGGUGGGGUAAGAGCCCACCGCACGGGUGGUGACACUCGUGGCAGUGUAAACCUUACGGGGUGAAAUGCCAUGUAUACCGUCAGCCUUACGGGGCAGAGAGCUGCUCGUUCUCAUUGACGGGGGGUAGGCAGAUAAAGACAUAGGGCGACCUAUGUAUUAGAUAAAUGAUAAGAGCUACACUUGUAGUACAGAACUCGGCUUAUAUCACGGCAAUCAUU